GAUGAAGAACGUAGCGAAAUGCGAUAAGUAGUGUGAAUUGCAGAAUUCAGUGAAUCAUCGAAUCUUUGAACGCACAUUGCGCCCUUUGGUAUUCCUUAGGGCAUGCCUGUUCGAGCGUCAUUUAAACCUUCAAGCUCAGCUUGGUGUUGGGUGACUGUCCGCUUCACCGCGGACUCGCCUCAAAAUUAUUGGCGGCCGGUACAUUCGCUUCGAGCGCAGCAGAAACGCGAACUCGGGCCCGUCGUAUUGGCUCCCAGAAGCUAUCUUCACAAUUUUGACCUCGGAUCAGGUAGGGAUACCCGCUGAACUUAAGCAUAUCAAUAAGCGGAGGA
rnacentral:misc_RNA from 1 species